rnacentral:rRNA from 1 species
GACGUAGGGCGCGAGCGUUGUCCGGAUUUAUUGGGCGUAAAGAGCUCGUAGGCGGCUUGUCGCGUCGUCCGUGAAAACCUGCGGCUCAACUGCAGGCUGGCGGUCGAUACGGGCAGGCUGGAGUUCGGUAGGGGAGUGUGGAAUUCCCGGUGUAGCGGUGAAAUGCGCAGAUAUCGGGAGGAACACCGGUGGCGAAGGCGGAUCUCUGGGCCUGUCCUGACGCUCAGGCGCGAAAGCUAGGGGAGCAAACA